rnacentral:rRNA from 1 species
AUUGAACGCUGGCGGCAGGCCUAACACAUGCAAGUCGAACGAGUGGCGAACGGGUGAGUAAUGUCUGGGAAACUGCCUGAUGGAUGGGGAUCACUACUGGAAACGUUAGCUAAUUCCGCCUACCCUCGGAUGUGCCCAGCUGGGAUUCGCUCGUAGGUGGGGUCAAGGCGCACCUAGGCGACGAUCCCUCGCUGGUCUGAGAGGAUGACCAGCCACACUGGAACUGAGACACGGUGCAGACUCCUAGGGGAGGCAGCAGGGGGGAAUAUUGCACAAUGGGCGCAAGCCUGAGACAGCCAUGCCGCGUGUAUGAAGAAGGCCUUCGGGUUGUAAAGUACUUUAAGCGGGGAGGCGUUACCAGCAGAAGAAGCACCGGCUAACUCCGUGCCAGCAGCCGCGGUAAUAC